GCCUGACCUAGCUCGCCCACCCAUACAAAGCUCCCAAAUACACAAAACAAAUCAUUUGACAAAGCCAGUAAAUGCGAUUGAACCCUACAACGACGCAAUAGUGAAAGUACCGCAAGGGAAAGAUGAAAUACUACCUAACUAUAAAGCAACAUAAAGCAAGGAUUAGCCCCUGUACCUUUUGCAUCAUGAUCUAGCAAGAACUCCCAGGCAAAGAGUCACUACAGUCCGCCCCCCCGAAAUCGAGUGAGCUACUUCUAGGCAAUCAACAGAUAUAACCCGUCUCUGUAGCAAAAGAGUGGGAUGACCUAGAAGUAGUGGCAAAAAACCUAACGAACUCGAUGAUAGCUGGUUACCCGAUAAAAGAAUCUCAGUUCAACUUCAAGACCCUCCCCCCUCCCCCCAUACACAAACUAGUAAACCCCGACACCUUGAAAGAUAUUCAAUAGGGGUACAGCUCUAUUGAAUCAGACUACAACCUGUUGUAGAGAGCAACCCAAAUCCUACAAUCAGUGGGCCCUAAAGCAGCCACCAAUAAACUAUAGCGUCACAGCAAAUGACCCUAAAAAUCCCACUAAUAUUCCCGCCCUCCUACCAACCCACCGGGUAAUUCUAUAACUAUAUAGAAGAACUUCUGCUAAAAUUAGUAACAAGAACACCCAUUCUCUACGCACACCUGUAACUCAGCAAUAGAACACCUACUGACAAUUAACAGACCAAAAAAGGACUAAUAUUGCACUAACAAGGCAAGAUUUUAACCCACUGUUGACCCAACACAGGACUGCUUUUAAGAAAGAUUAAACAUUAGAGAAGGAACUCGGCAAACUCUGGCCCCAACUGUUUACCAAAAACAUAGCCUUUAGCAAUAAAAGUAUUAAAGGUCCCGCCUGCCCAGUGACCAACCACUUUAAACGGCCGCGGUAUCCUAACCGUGCAAAGGUAGCGUAAUCACUUGUCCCCUAAAUAGGGACUAGUAUGAACGGCUAAAUGAGGGCCCAACUGUCUCCUUUGAUUAAUCAGUGAAAUUGAUCCACCCGUACAAAAGCUGGUAUACACCCAUAAGACGAGAAGACCCUGUGGAGCUUAAAAUGCUUAAGUCAAAAUAACAGCACAACCAAAAAUGACAUAACAUUUUCAGUUGGGGCGACUACGGAAAUAAACCAAACUUCCAAGCCAAGAGCCAACCCGCUCUACCACAGACAAACAUGUCGAACUACCACCUGACCCAGAACCACUCUGAGUAACGAACCAAGUUACCCCAGGGAUAACAGCGCCAUCUUCUUCAAGAGUCCCCAUCGACAAGAAGGUUUACGACCUCGAUGUUGGAUCAGGACACCCAAAUGGUGCAGCCGCUAUUAAAGGUUCGUUUGUUCAACGAUUAAAGUCCUACGCGAUCUGAGUUCAGACCGGAGAAAUCCAGGUCGGUUUCUAUCUAUGUUAAAUUCUCCUUAGUACGAAAGGACCAGGAAAAUAGGGCCCAUCUUAAUAAGAAGCCCUUCAGGUAUAGUUGACAAAAACUUAACCUAGACAAAGAUACCAAUCUAAGCCCAAAAUCAGGGCUCUU
rnacentral:rRNA from 1 species